CUUAAUGGGAAGCAGUGGGUUAGAUAACUAUACCUGUUUAAGCUAGACCUUCGUGGAGGUGAGGGGCUUUGGACAAUUACAACCUCUGUUGCCUCAGGAACAAGAGGGAGAUUUGGAGGAGAAUGGAUCAGCUCCCACUCUGGAACAGGGACAAGGUCCAAACAGUAGGAAACUGAAGUUUCACUAACCUUUGUCCAGGGUGUAGGAUGUCGUCGCUGAGCUGGACGUAAUGUUGACUAGAGGCCUGGUUGUGGAAGUAAUGCAGAAGCUGUCCUCUGAUCUGAAAGGACUUCCUGUUCUCCCGGGCUGGCUCUCAAUCUAUUUAGCCACCCAGCUGCCCAGCUAAAUGACUUCUAAGGCAAACUUCAUCAUCAUACAAAUCUAUGUUCCAACUAUUGAUGCUGAAGAGUCCAAAGCUGCUCAAUUCUAUGAAGAUCUACAACAUCUUCUAAAAGUGACACCAAAAAAAGAUGCCACAUUCAUCAUAAGGAAUUGGAAUGCUAAAGUAGAAAAUUCAAAAAUGAUUGAAAAAAUAGGCAAGUUUGACAUUGAAGUAGAAAAUGAAGAAGGGUAGAGUUUUGCCAAGAUAACCUUUUUUUUAACUCUACACAUGAACAAUUUCAGAUGGUCAAUAUUGAAAUCAGAUUGAUUAUAUACUGUAGUAAGGGAUUUUGCAAGCUGACAGCAAGAGGUUAUUACUAAUCAUAGUGGAUAAUAAUAACACGUAUCCUGUAUUUUAUAGCAACUUCAUGUACACAUUUAAUAUCAUGUCAGGAGACAUGGCAAAUGUAAUUUUGUAUUUUUAUGGGAUUGUUUCCUACGUAUCCCUUAUGGAAUUUUCACCUUGUUUCCCCAUUGUUGUUAUAUUGUUUUAGGAUAUGAAUGGAUGAAACCAGUGAUGCAUUUAACUAUAAGAACUGUGUUAGCUUAUGCACCAUUGAUGUGUUUAUGUUUACUUGUAUUGUAUAAAUGUAGAGUUUUGUUUUUUGGUGUUGGCUAUAGACUAAGGGCAAUGGUUUUAUGGAUUACAAAAGAUUCUAAGAUGAAGCAGAUGACUAUGAUAAUGAAAGAUAAACCAGAGGCAAUGGAGCAAUGUAUGAAAGAGGAUGAUUUUGAAUAAUGGUGCUUUAAAUUAUUUAAAAGAUAAAGAUAUAAAUAAGGAAAAUAAUGAAGGAAAUAUUAAGAAGAUGACCAGAUUGGAAAGGGAGGAUGCUGUAUGUAAUAAGACCCAGGCAUCAUUGUUUCCUCUAAGAAAUUUGAAGUACAUAAGGUUAAAACUCAUAAAUUGUUUACUCCUGAGGAUUUGGAAAAAAUCAAAUGUAGAACCAUUUGCUUUUCAGAUGAACCUAAUAAGGUAGUAAAAGAAUUUCAGAGGGUGAUAGAUAUAUUUGACCUUGAUUAUUAUUUAUUAAUGAAGGAGUUAUUGACAAAGAGAGAAAGGAACCAAUUCAUAGAGGAAACUAGAAAUGAUCCAUCUUUGACCCCAUGGCCACAGGAUUUUGAAGGUGUGGAUAUAAAUUCAUCCCCUGAUUAUGCAAGGAUGAAACAAGCCAGGAGGUCAAUCAUGGAUUUAAUGAAGAGGCAUACCAAAUGCCCUAAUGCUUGGUCCAAAUUUGAGAACAUUAAACAAAAACAAAAUGAAUCACCAACGAAUUUUUUUAGAGUGAAUCACAGAUGCUGCUGAAAUAAUUUUAGGCCUUGAUGUGUUAGCGGAUGACACAAUUGCACACAUCAGGAGACUAUUUGUAAAAAAUGCAUGUCCUAAGAUAAAGUUAUUUUUAAAAAAUAAUCGCCCAGAUUGGGAAAAGAUGGGUUUGGAAGAAUUAAGUAGAAAAGCAUCUUAUUUGUACAUGGGCAAUGAUGAUAGAUAUGAAGACAAGGAUACAGUAAUUGUGGAUUUGAAAAAGAAAUUAAGAGAUGCUGAAAGUAAAGCAAGGGACAGUGAAAUAAAGGAAAUAAAGGCAGUGGCAGAACUUAGAUCUGUGCAACCAAACAACUAGUACAAGCCAAGAGAAAGGAGAUGUGGACCUCCAUGAUGUUUCUUAUGUAAUCGUGUAGGACAUUUUGUUAGGGAAUGUAGAUUCAGAGGGCAAUUUUCUAGGCAACUAAAUGGAUGUAAUAGACAGUAUAACAAUAAUUGGAAUAGCAAUAAUUAUCAAAGGAGAAAUAAUGUUAACAAUUGCUAAAAUGCUUGCUGUCAGGGAGCUCAAGCACUUGAUUUGAACACUAUGCAAGAGUGGGUAAAAUCAGGAGCAACACCCAAAUGCAGUAAAGUAGUUAGUGGGAAUAAGGGUGAUCUGAAAAAAGGGGUAUGUUCAUUAUGAAGAUGUACCCAGAGUUCUAAAAUAUUUGAAGACUCAAGGGAAAAUGGAGAUAAGGUUAAUGAAUUUAUAAAUAAUGUGAUUGAAAAAAAGGAUAAUGUAAUUUGUGUUAAUAAUUGUGAGGAAAAAGAAAAUUGUAAUGUAAAAUUAGUGGAAAAUUCUAGUGAUUGUGAAAUAGAGGAAAAUAAUGAAGAAUGUAACUUGGAUAAAGAUAAUGUGAUUGUAAAUGAGAACAAUGUUAGCAAAGUAGAGAUUAUAAAGACCAAUGAGAAUAGUGAAAAAGCUGAUGAUGGUGUUAAAGAUGUUAAAUCCUGGGGAUAUCAUGCAAUUCAAGCAGAUGUGAAUUUGUAUGGACAGGAAAUAACUGAGCUUUGUACUGAUGUUACUGUGCUAGCACCAGUGUUGGAAACAUUUCAACCACCAAAUAGUACAGAACCAUAUACGUCUGUAACUAUUGGAGACAAGAUUUAUGAUCUUUGGUUGAUACUGGAGCCAGAAAAUCAGUUUUGCAAAGUUUUCCUAAGAAUUGUAGAGCUGUUGGUAUAAUGGAAAUAAUAGGUGCUACUGGUAAACCACAGAGAGUAGCAAAAUUAUAACCAAAAACUUUAGGCCCAUUAUCUGUGGAGCAUGUAUUUCUGCAUGCCAGACUGUCCAAUGAAUCUUUUAGGUAGAGAUUUAUUAUGUAAAUUAAGGGCAACAAUCUAAUGUACUGAUACUGGUGAUAUCUCAUUACAUCUACCAGAAGAACCUCUGAAAGCUUUUCCAUUGCUGUUCUUAAAUUCAGUCAGUACAAAGGGUGACUUAGAUUCAAUCAAUAUAAUACCUGAGGAUAUCCCUGAAGAUCUUUGGUCAAAGUCUUCCACAGAUGUAGGUCUAUUGAAAUCAGCUACUCCAGUAAGGGUGAGGACUAAGGAAGGACCAGUUUCUUGUAUAUUUCAAUAUCCCUUUACUAAAGAAGCAAUUGAGGGUAUAAGAUCAAUCAUUGAAUCCCUAAUCCAACAAGGGAUCAUAAUACCUUCCUUCUCGGAUCAGAAUGGCAAAGUUGUACAUCAUUUUAUACAGGAUCUAAGAGCAGUUACUGAUUAUGUAAUCAAGACUCAUCCUGUUGUACCAAUUCCAGCUGCUAUAAUUUCUUCCAUUCCAAGUCAAGCAAGAUAUUUCACUGUGGUAUAUUUAUGCUCUGCUUUUUUCUCAAUUCCAAUUCAUUAGAAUUCUCAAAAGGUCUUUGCUUUUACCUGGGAAAAAGCUAAGUAGACGUGGACUCGUUUGCCACAGGGAUUUACCAAUUCACCGAGCCAAUUUUCACAAAUUCUGAAUAGAGAUCUGAAAACUAUAACAUUCAAAAAAAGUAAAUUGGUGCGUUUUGGGGAUGAGAUUCUUCUUGCAUCCCCAAAUGCUAUGGUGUGUCUGAGGUAUAGCAAGAUUCUUUUAUUAGAAUUAUAUAAACAUGGGCAUAAAAUCUCCAAGGCAAAAUUACAAUGGGUUUUGCCUCAAGUGCAAUAUCUUGGUUUUGUGUUAUCAGAGGGUUCAAGAAGUAUCACACAGAAAAGAACAGCAGACAUCCAGAAACUGAGUGCUCCUAAGACCAAAAAGAAACUCAGAGCUGUUCUUGGAACAACUGGUUUCUGUAGACAAUGGAUACCUGGAUAUAGUGAACUAACAAAAUGUUUAACAGAUUUAACCAGGAAUACAGAACCAGAACCUCUGAAACUAAAGCUUGAACAUCUGCAAGCCUUAAGUAAGCUUAAAGAAGCCAUUUUAUCUGCUCCAUCUUUGGGUAUCCUAGGCUAUACAAAACCAUUCCAAGUUUUUGUUAAUGAAACUAAAGGUAUUGCUUCUAGGGUACUGACACAGAUAUUAGGACAAAGUUAUUGUCAAAUGGAUGUUAUAGUUGUCAGCUUGAUCCAAUAGCUGCAGGUACAGUUCCUUAUUUAAGGGGUGUAGCAGCCACUGCAGUAUUAGUCCAGAAGUCAGCAGAUUUAGUUUUGUGAUGUCCAUUGACUAUUGUCCACAUCAAAUAGAAGCAUUAAUGAGGAAAUUUCAUAUUCAAGUUUAUUCAGAUCAAUGAAUUUCUAAGUUUGAAAUUAUUCUUCUGGGUAGUGAGAACAUCCAGUUGAGGAGGUGUAGUGUAUUAAAUCCAGCUACACUUCUUCCUGAUUUGCCAAAGAAUGGUGAACCAUUAUAUGAGUGUGUAGAAGUAGUAGAUCUAGUGGAUAUGAUGCAUUUGAAAGACACUUUUAUUGAAAAUCCAGACUUGGUGUUAUUCAUGGAUGGUUCUUCAUAUUUGUGUAAUGGAAUUCAGUGUACUCGUGCUGCAGUGGUCACAAAAUUUGAGACACUGUGGUAUGGCUCAUUAGCUAGCAUCAUUAUUGCUCAAGGAGCAGAGUUGGUGGAAUUGAAGCAAAUAUGUCUUCUAGCUGAUGUUAAAAGUGCAAAUAUUUAUACAGACUCUCAUUGUGCAUUUUCAGCAUGUCAUGCAACAGGGAAGAUCUGGAAACAAUGAGGUUUUAAUACUGCAUUGGGAAAACCAAUUGCACAUGCAGAAAUAAUAACUGAGUUGUUGAAUGCUAUCCAGAAACCUAAACAGCUAGCGGUGAUCCAUUGCAGAAGUCAUACUUGUGACAGAGAUUCAGUCUCCAAAGGAAAUCAUAGAGCUGAUAUAACUGCUAAGUUUGCAGCCUGGAAUGCUUCAGUGUAUGUAAUGAAUUUGUCAACUAUUGAGUAUGAUGAUUUAGAAAGAACUUAUAUAGACCCAGAAAUUCAGAACCGGAAGGAGAAAUUUGGAGCAAGGAAAGAACAUGGAAUAUGGAUUGCAAACACUGGAAAACUGCUGUUAACAAAAGAUUUAUAUACCUACUUGUGUCAAGCCAUUCACACAAAAGGUCAUUUUGGUACUUAAGCUGUAGUAGACUCUGUAAAAAGGCAAUGGGUAGUACCGGGAAUAAGGACUGUUGCAAAUAAGAUCUGUACUAGUUGUUCUGUUUGCCAAAAAUUCAAUCAAGGUGCAUUCAGAAAGAAAGGUUUGGGUAGUAGACCUUUGGCAUCUUCUCCAUUUGAGAGUUUGCAAAUUGAUUACAUCAGCAUGCCAAAAGCUGGAAGAUAUAAGUUUUGUCUUUUAAUUGUGGAUAGAUUAACAAAAUGGUCAGAAGCUUUUCCAUCUAAUACUAAUACUGCUAGCUUUGUGGUGAAAGUGUUACUUAAGGAAAUUGUUCCUAGGUUUGGUAUACCAAUUACCAUAGAUUCUGAUAAAGGAUCUCAUUUUACACAAAAUGUCCUGAAAAGAAUCUAUGAGAAUAUAGGAAUAACACCUAAAUAUCAUGUUCCUUAUCAUCCACAAAGUUCAGGUCAAGUGGAGCAUGUGAAUAGAGAACUGAAGACUAUGGUGGGGAAAAGUUGUGCUGAAACUCAUCUAAAAUGGCCAGCUAUUCUUACUAUAGCUUUGUUUUACCUAUGUACAAGAUCAAGAGCAGACUUACACAUAUCAUCUUAUGAGAUGCUCUUUGAACAUGCUCCAUUGCAGGCAAAAACUUGUAAGGCUGUUUAUACAUCUCUCUUGGGAGGAGAUUGUCAACUUGCUUCAUAUUUAAGUGCAUUACAACAGUGGCUUAGAGAACUGCAUGAUAUGGGAGUAUUGAUCCAAUCUGGUCCAUUGGAUUAUUCUCUUCAUAAUUUUCAACCAGGUCAUAUGGUGUAUGAGAAAAAUUUUGCAAAAACAUCAGCAACUCAAGAGAGUUGGGUAGGUCCUUAUACAAUUGUGUUAGUUUCACCAUCUUCUGUGAAAGUAUUAGGAAAAGAUUCAUGGUAUCAUUGCUCACAUAUUAAAUUAGCUCAUGGAAUUAAUAAUGAAAAUGUAGAAAUUGUUGAAAUUGUUGAAUGAAGAAGAGUUCGUGGAAAGUUGAGAUCAUUAGUCAAAUAGAGUCUGCAGUCAAAAAGAUCAAUAAGGAGUGGACCAUUCCAGUGGAAGAGGACAUUCAGAUGGAAAAGGACAUUGCAGUUGAAGAGGAGGAUUCAGAAAAUUGAUUGACAUCGUAAAAAGACUGACUCAUAAAUAUUAAGCAGAUAAAGACUUUGAAGGGAAUUUUCAAUGAAGAGCAUCAAGUGAUUGAUGGACUACUGGUUCUAAGGAAUCUAGGUAAUGUAACAAAACAUAACACAACACGACACGACACGACACGACACGACACGACACGACAUAACAUAACAUAACAUAACAUAACAUAUUCAUAGGCAUUCACCAAUACAUUUUACUACCAUGAAUUUUGGAGAGGACGAAUUCUUCAAACAAGUUGAGAAGUGAAGAAAAAUCUGAAGCUUUGGUAAGUAUAUUGUAUGCAACAGUAACACAACAGUAACACAACAGUAACAUUGGCAUAACACUAACAAAACAACAUAACAUAGCAUGAAUAACAACAUAACAAAAAUAUAUACACAAAAAAAAACAUGGUUAGGUUACAUUGAUUCACUAGUUGAAUGAGUGCAACAAUGUAUAGCUAGAUACUAACAAUGUUAUAGUUAGUUAUAAAGUAAUUAGUUACUAACAAAGAUAGCUACUUAGUUUAGAAUAGUAAUAGUAUAUGUAGGUGAGAUUAAUUUUGGGAGAUUUUAUUAAAAUAGAGCUGUAGUGAGAUAGAUUAGAGUUUAAGGUUGAUAAGAUAAAGUAAGAUACUGAACUACACUACAAAAUACAUUACAACACACAUAACAACAUACAUCACAUAGCACAUGACACAUAAUAUCACAUAUGCAAAAAUGUAAAUACAUAUGUAAAUGGUGUGUAUUAUAAUUAGGAUUGUAGAAUUAAUUGUAUUAUAGUGUAUGCAUGCAUAUAUGUAACAUAUGUGUAAAUAUGAAGUAUAUGUGUAUAUAUCAUAUGUAUUAUAUGUAUAUAGUGUAUGUAUUAUAUAUGUAAAACUUAUGUAAAUAGAUAAUAUUUACUAAGUUCUUAACAUAGAAUAAGGUUAUGUUCAAUUUUAAUCUAUUAUUAAAUGUAUUUUGCAUAAGUAAGUUUGAUGGUUUGGUUAAUUUUUUUUUUGUAAAACUUAUGUAAUGUACUUAUUGUAUUUUUUCAAAAAAUUUGUCUAAGUUUGCUGUUUAUGCAUUGCAGUCAUAGUAGAAUUUUCUGUAUUAGUUGAUAAGAGUAGUAUUUUAUGAUUUUAAUGUUUUGCAUGAAUUUGUAUUUGUAUUUUGAUUUUGAUGCUAUUUGCUUGUUUUACUUUUGCAUAUUUUUGAACUGUAUUUUGAACUUUGUAAUUGUUCAUUGUAUACUUUCCCUUUUCCUUUCCUUGAUUAAAUCCCUAGAAUAGGAUAGUAUUAGAUAGGAUAAGAUAGUUGAGUGUAGGCUGUUUAUUAUUUUGGGUAGAAAUUUUAGUUUAAGGAAAAUAUAAGUAUGUUAGUGCACAAAUGCCAAAAUAGCAAUUUCAAUACAAUUUUGGCUUUGUGCAAAGGGGGCACUGUAGUAUGGGAUUUUGCAAGCUGACAGCAAGAGAUCCUGGAGACCAACAUUCCACACAACUUGCAGAGGCUGGGGAACUGAAAACACACAGGCAGUUGCUGAACAUAAUUGUCCUCUAGCAGUCAGGAAAGCCCAGAGGGUUUCUGUUUGGUAUUUCUGGGGUGGACCCAGAGAGCUAAUGAUUCCCUCUUCUUUGAUUUUAUUGACAUUCUGCCUGUUUCAGCCUGUUACUGCUACAGAGAAGUGGAUUUCAACAAUGCUGGUGACUUACUUCUGGGAUUACCGCUUGAAUCAAAGAGGACUCCUAUGCUAUGAGAUUCUUUGGCCCUGGCCCUGUUCCUAUAAAAACCUCUAAUCUUAAUGACUACUUUAAGAAUUUAGUUAGAAUAAUUAUAUAAGUUAUAAAGGUGUUUUUCUUUGUUUGGGUUAAGAGUUAGUUAUUCUCCAUUUCCCUUUUUCCUUUACCCUUUAGAUGAAUAAACCUGUUAUUUUAUA